rnacentral:rRNA from 1 species
GAUAGGUCAUAAUAUCUGGAAUGAUUUAUGGUUUAAAUCUAUAUGGCCUCUGGAUUGGACUGCGGCCGAUCAGGCUGUUGGUGAGGUAAUGGCCCACCAAACCUGAAACCGGUACGGGCUCUGAGAGGAGAAGCCCGGAGAUGGGCACUGAGACAAGGGCCCAGGCCCUAUGGGGCGCAGCAGGCGCGAAAACUCUGCAAUAAGCGAAAGCUUGACAGGGUUAUUCUGAGUGAUUUCCGCUAAGGAAAUCUUUUGGCACCUCUAAAAAUGGUGCAGAAUAAGGGGUGGGCAAGCCUGGCGUCAGCCGCCGCGGUAAUACCAGCACCCCGAGUGGUCGGGACGAUUAUUGGGCCUAAAGCAUCCGUAGCCGGUUCUACAAGUCUUCCGUUAAAUCCACCUGCUUAACAGAUGGGCUGCGGAGGAUACUAUAGAGCUAGGAGGCGGGAGAGGCAAGCGGUACUUAGUGGGUAGGGGUAAAAUCCGUUGAUCCAUUGAAGACCACCAGUGGCGAAGGCGGCUUGCCAGAACGCACUCGACGGUGAGGGAUGAAAGCUGGGGGAGCAAACCGGAUUAGAUACCCGGGUAGUCCCAGCUGUAAACGAUGCAGACUCGGUGAUGAAUAGGCUUCGUGCCUAUUCAG